AUGUACAUUCCUACAUCAUAGUGUUAAUGCACCGGAUCGCAUUAGAAAUUUGGAGUUAAGUCCGCUCAAGCUAGAGUAAUACUGGUAUGCGUGACCCCAUGGGAAGUCCUAGUGUUUUACAUG
rfam:Picea glauca, whole genome shotgun sequence.